rnacentral:rRNA from 1 species
UGGGGGAUAUUGCACAAUGGGCGAAAGCCUGAUGCAGCGACGCCGCGUGGGGGAUGAAGGCCUUCGGGUUGUAAACUUCUUUUGCUCUGAACAAGGCAUGCUUUUGGGGUGUGUUGAGUGUAGGGGUUGAUUAGCGCCGGCUAACUACGUGCCAGCAGCCGCGGUAAUACGUAUGGAGCGAGCGUUGUCCGGAAUUAUUGGGCGUAAAGGGUGCGCAGGCGGCUUUACAAGUUGGAUGUGAAAUAUUGUGGCUCAACCACAAACGUGCAUCCAAAACUGCAAAGCUUGAGUUAAGGAGAGGUAAGUGGAAUUCCUGGUGUAGCGGUGGAAUGCGUAGAUAUCAGGAGGAAUACCGGUGGCGAAGGCGACUUACUGGACUUAAACUGACGCUCAGGCACGAAAGCGUGGGGAGCAAACAGG